AAGACUAUAGACCUGCGGAGUACCUGCGGAAGGAUCAUUACAUGGCGGAGGAGGUGGGCACCUAGUAAAACAAAACCCUAGGUGUGUUGCCUACCACGCUUUCUACCCUUGUCUAUUUGCACCUUUUGUCGUUCCCUCGGUGGGUCUUGAACCUGCCGGCGGCAACUUUCAAAAACCUUUUGUAGUUAGUAUCUAAUUCUUCUGAUCAAAUAUUCAAUCGUUACAACUUUCAACAAUGGA
rnacentral:misc_RNA from 1 species